AUGAUCACACCGUUUGUUCCAUCCCCCGGCUCAAACCGCGUGUCACAAUCAAACGCAGGUGCGUGGCUUAUUCUCCGUCCAAUAGGAGGCUCCACCGCGAGUAGUUGUAGCUGGAAACCAUGGGGUCGUCUCGAGGCAUGGAGAGAGAGAGAGAGGUCCUAUAGAUGGCUUGGGUUACAAGGAUAUUCAACUCUUGAUUUUGUUUAA